UGGCCGGGUAGCUCAGUUGGUAGAGCAGGGGAUUGAAAAUCCCCGUGUCGGGGGUUCGAUUCCCUCCCCGGCAACCA
rnacentral:tRNA from 1 species